rnacentral:hammerhead_ribozyme from 1 species
AUCCAGAUGAGCAGUCCCAAAUAGGACGAAAUGUGCAUCCUGGAU